UUUUUUUUUUUUUUUUUCCUUUCUCACGUCGCGAGGUCUUCGGAAACGGGAUGUGGCACAGCUCGGAGUCCACUUCAUCGUGAGAAAGGGAACGGCGUCCAAGUUUUAAAACACGUCUUGGUUGGAAGGGACCACACAGCCUUGAGUUCACGACCGGAAACCACACCUUCUGACACCGGGCAAGUGGCAUUUCUCAGCUGCCCCCGUAGGAGGGAGCACCACGGGGUGGUGGAAGGCACCGAGUCAUGUUGGGAAAACACGUAUAUUCAAACGCUGGAGCUGCCCUGUACUGUGGGACCUGGGGCCUCAGUCUUCUCAUCUUUUAAAGGGGUGUCAUGCUGCCCCAUCUUGGAACAUCGUGAGGGCUCAGGGGGUGAAGGCGCACAGCCCAGUGCCUGGCGGGUCCGUGCCCCCAGCCUAACUUGAAUUCUCACCGCCCUGGAAGGUGCAUCUUAGGCUGGGGUCCCUGGGAGCCGGUCCCGGGACGAGGAUCCCCACGGAAAGGGUUUGUUAGGCGGUGCUCCUGGGAAGCAGAGCAGUGGCAGGGGAGGAGGCUGCACAAGGACCUGGCAUGUGAUCUGGAGGUGACCGUCACGGCCAAGAGUGGCCCUGAUCGAUCGGGGGCUCGUGAGCUGAGACGGUAGAGCGCAGCCCUUUGGUCCAGGGGGGGAGGGAGACACCUUCCUGGGUGCUCCCAGGGCUCCUGCCGUCCCCCCCAACAGCUGGAGGACAACCCUCCCAGCAAGAGGCCAGGUGCACAGAAACAGCGAAGAGAUGCUGGCCACGUGGGCAGAGGAGGACAGCCACCGCCCAGGAGGUGGGGCCUGUGGCUCCCAGCCACAGGUAGGCUGUGAACAGGCCCAGACCCCCAGCCAGGGAAGGCGAUGGUUGGGUCAACUGGGAGCUUGCGCAGAGCAGAGGUGUGUGCCCUGGCCGCGGAGUUAGACCUGCCUCGGGCCCGGGUCCCGCUCUUUGCGCUAUGAAGCUGCAGCAUCUCACUCGGCGGACGCCUCUGAGGACCAGUGGCUGCUCUGGGCUUGAACACUGAGGGAGGGUCAAAACCCCCAGCUCCGUGGGACAUGACUCCAUAAACACAACACCUCCUAGAAGACUGCAUAGCGGAGGCCAAGUCGUAAAACUUCGCAAGGGGGAAACAGCAGUGGCUUUGAAAGCCUUUCCUUCGCCUCGAGGAAAACCAGAAGGAAGAGCCCGGAGACGGGAGACGCGGUGGUCUGUGUGUUUCAUUUCCUUUUCAUGUCCUUUCUGCCCAAAGACGGUCCGCAUGAAAGCCGGGGCCUCGGGCCACGCCCGUCCCCCCUGGAAACAAGCUCCCCCCUUCUGGAACCAGGGUGUGCUGUCUCAGGGCCACCCCAGAGCCCGUCUCCUUCUGCUAAGGCCAGGGUCAGGGUCGGGGGCUGGGGGCUGGGGGCUGGGGGCUGGCUCAGACGCCACGGGGAGCAGUGCAAUACUGUGGGGGCGGGGGGGGGG
rnacentral:lncRNA from 1 species